CUGGAACACGUAAAUGGUUACCUAACAAUAUAUAGCAAGGGUUGAUCUAGAAUGAUGUACGUCUUGAAGCGCUGCGCCACAUUCAGAUUAGCCUGAAUUGGCAGUGAAUGUCUGAAUGAAUAAGCCAUCCUUUGACUGAAUAUCUCAAGCUUCACGUCGCUGAGCUCUUUACAUUUAACUUUCCAGAGCUCAUUGGCUGGCUGUAAGGGGAACGUUCACAGGUGGUAAGAUGUCCGGCAUGGCUGAGAAACAAAUACAAGAGGGAGAGACAGACAGAGAGAGAAAAAGUAGACAGACAGACAGGGAAAUACAAGAGAGUGUUUGCAAGGCGCGGCCAAAAAUGGUCUACCAUAUACGAGUCACAAGAAGAAGAAGAGGAACGCGGGAGGAUGGCGGUCACAACACUCGGCUGGGCGUGGAGUCACCGAAGUAUCAUGUUAGCCUUGCAGUCAGCUGUGUCCUGGGCCAACCCACAGCUGGUGAGGGAGUGCCCACCCACCCCCACCUCAUGGCCCUCUGCAAUGGCUCCCUGCACCAGUACACCAGGGGAGCAGCGAGAAAGAGAGAGAGAGAGAGAGCACUGAGAUGAAAGAGUGAGCCGAAGAGAUGACCGACAAGAGAACGAGAUGAAAUGAUAGAGGUGGACUGAGAAGCGGCUUGUUGGAGGGCUGCGAGGGAUGUCAGACACGUGCCAGACCCCACUAACACACUAGACAACAUAGUGAUGAAAUAUACCAGCUGACUGAGAUGACGCUAUUUUGAAUUUACGAAUUCAAGCAAACCACAGCACGACGUCUAUAGUGUACAUGGUAGUGCAGCUCAGUGACUACUUGAAGAGGGUUUUCUGGUCUGCCCCUCGGAAUGCCACGAAGGUGGAAGUUGCAGCAUUUCCGUCACCUAUCAGCACGCUGUCCCUGCACGCCUCAGUCCCAUCAGCCUUCCUUCAAGACAGCACCAGGAUGUCCCAUCACUAAGUGUAAGGAGUCAUGCCAUCCUUGGGCUUGUUAGAGGGCUGUGACAGCUGGCAGGCCCUGCAGUGCACCACACCUGAAAGAAGGAACAGUUCAACAUGAAUAUUGAUGACAUUCUAGCUUUAUCAACUAUCCAACUUGUCUCAGGGUGUAGAAACAAAUUACUUAAUAGUUGUUAUAGUUUUUUUUGUAUAUAUUUUGAAAGUAUGUAGUAUGUUCAUUAAAGAUAUGGCUGGGGACACUCAUCUUGUUUGAUUUAAUAAUGUUAUUAGUCUUUCUCUCUGGGGGCUUUUUGAGGUAGCCUAUUAUGGAGUUUUUUGACCUACCUAUUAGUGCAGAUUUCAUGCAUUUUGUGCUAUUUCUUAAACUUUUUUACCAUUCCUGUACAGAUUUAACAUUUAUUGUCCCAUUAAACAUAGAAAUUCAGAGUAGAAUAUUGCAAUUGCUAAAGUCACAGCCAUUUUUACUCCAGUUAAAAUACUAUAUCAGUAAGGUGAUGGUUAGUUGGUGCACUGUACUCAACAUUUGCUUGUGAAUUUACUGAGAGACUUGAAAAUGGUAGAUUUUUGCUGUCCAGCAUGUGUAGAAAGAAUCAAUGGAGGUGAUCUGCCAACCAGGAAAGGAAGAAGCAGAAACUACAGAAAUGCUAAUGGUGUAACAAAAGUGAAACAGUUUUCCUAUCUAUGAUGUCUUGGAGAGCGAAGGUGGAGUGGAAGGAGCAGUAAGAACAUGGGUAGCAACAUGAAGGUUAAUGGAGAGAUAGCAGGACUGCUGAUUAAUAGGAGCAUUCCACUGAAAAUAGGAAAAGUAUUUUAAACAUGCAUCAGCUCAGUAUUGCUAUGUGGCUCUGAGACAUGGGCUUUAAUGAAGAAGGGGAUAAUGAAGAGUGAAUAAUGACAAGAUACUUAUAUGAAUCUGCUCCUUGCCAGCUGUCCAGUUACCACAGAGCUGAAGAUCACCUAGUUUGGUCUGUCUUCCGUUCUUCCUUUCAGCCUAGCUCCACAUUCUCCCCUGUGAUAAAAAGGAACAAAAUGAAAAACUGGACAUUAUGUAAAUUGUGUUUGGGGGCUUAUGUAAAGAAGAAAUAAGACAACAAUUCUAUCCAUUCUAUCCUACAUUUUAUUAGAUAUUGUGAUAACUUAGUGUUGCCCUCCAUCAGCUCUGUUGUAGGAUAAGGGGCAUAGAAGAGAUGGAAUCACUCCCUUGUCCCUCUCCCUCCCUUAAGCACUACAGGAAGUAUGGUGUGAAAAGACAAAGACAGAAAUGUAUACAAGAUAGAUAUGACAAUAUGUAGUCAUCUCAUUACACUCACUGCUUCAUCUGUUGCUGCCUAGAACACUCCCACACCCUGUAUUAUCAUGACCUUUUAUUAAUCCUUGCUGUCACUUUUCUUUAUAGCUCUUCCAUACAUCUUUCCUUGCAUCCUGAGAUGUUAUAAUCAUCCCCAAUCCAUUCUCUUUUUAACAGAGGCACAACAAUGUGUUUUUUCUUUAUUUUUUUGCACCUCAUCCUUCUGCAUGCAAUGGUAAAUAGCAUACCCACACACAACUUUCCUCUCCAUGCAAGGGACCUUUCCUGGUUUAACUUCAUUAUUGCCUCCUUUAGCUAACCCUCGUUACCUUCCCCUGUGGACACCGCUGCCCUACAUUUAUAUUUACUCCAAUAUUUCUGCUCUCCCUCCUACACUCAUGACAGAUUUUAAAUGCUUCUUCCAUACCUCCUCUAUUUACUCAUUUCUGACUAGAAUAUUUACUUAAAAUAAUAGAGACGAAGUAAUUAUGUUUGUCACUCACAUGGUUAAUGAAGACCACAAAUGCUGGUCUCUCUCUCUCUCUCUCUCUCUCUCUCUCUCUCUCUCUCUCUCUCUCUCAUAUCUAUAAACAAUCUAAACCUACAACAAAACAUAACAAAGUGGACUUUCAUAGAUCACCGCGUCGCCCUGCCCUGCCCUACAAGUCCCGCUGGAAAGCCGCCAAAGAGAGAACAUUUAACAUUGGGAGAGAUUUAACUGAGGAGAGAGAAGUGGGAAGGGCAAGACAGGAGGAAGAACAGCAGGAGGAGGAGGAAGAAACUACAGUAAAAUAACACCUUGGACUCUUUCCUUCGCGCUAAUCAACAUUCCACCGAAGAAAGUUGGUAGAGGUAAGGUAAGAGGAGUCGGAGGAGUGGAAAUGACUAAGAAAACAGCAUAUUAUGGACUUAUGAUCCUUUCAAGAGCACUACAGCUAACACUGCCAUUAUGAAGGCCAAGUUGAAGAGUUGCGGGACGAAGGCAGAGUAGAGAAAGAGGUAAGAGGAGGAGGAGGAAGAGGGUGGAAAUGACUAAGAGAACAGCAAAUUAGUCAAACCUUUGAUCCCUUCUCGAGCGCUAUACCAAACAAUAUAAAAAGUUAACGGUUGCGGGACGAAGACAAACUUGAGCUGCCGCCAUAAGGGUCAGCACUUAGAUAUCAACAGGUGGCGGGCGGUGGACGAAGCGAAGUUAGGUGAAGUUACGCGGGAGUGUGUGACGCACGGCCCGUGACGCAAAACUUCUGAGAGCGGUGAAAAGGGAACGGCGGUGAGAGAAGGAGGAAGAGGAUGAAUUAAGAAGACUAAGAGAACAGCAAAUUAAUACAGCUAUGAUCCCUUCUUAUAAGCACUAUACCAAACACUGCCAUAUCAUAUAAGACAAGUUACAGGACGGAGCUAGAAUGUACGAAAGAGGCAAGAAGAGGAGGAGGUUGGAACACACUAAAAUAACAGCAAAUUAGUACACUUUUGAUGCCUCUUGUAUCUUGCCUUAUCUCCCUCUUCUCUACUUUCUGUCCUCGUCUCGCAACUCUUGUCUUGAGAUGGGCGGCGGCGGUGACGAGGAGGGGGGCUGGCUGGUGGUUGCUAGGUCUGGCUGGGUCAUCAUCUCGAUCCAUUCCUGAGAAAGAAGGUCACUGAUAGCGUCGACCAAUCAGGAUUCAAGAAGCUGAACGAGCUGACCAAUGGGCUUCGAGUGGACCGAGCAAGCCACUCACUUCAAUAUUUGAGAAGAAAAGAGAAACUGACACAAUUACGGAACUGAAUUGAAG